rnacentral:rRNA from 1 species
UGGGGAAUAUUGCACAAUGGGGGAAAGUCCUGAUGCAGCGACGCCGCGUGAAGGAAGAAGUAUCUCGGUAUGUAAACUUCUAUCAGCAGGGAAGAUAGUGACGGUACCUGACUAAGAAGCCCCGGCUAACUACGUGCC